UACGAAGGGGGCUAGCGUUGCUCGGAAUUACUGGGCGUAAAGGGCGCGUAGGCGGAUAUUUAAGUUGGGGGUGAAAUCCCGGGGCUCAACCUCGGAAUUGCCUUCAAAACUGGAUAUCUUGAGUUCGGGAGAGGUGAGUGGAACUCCGAGUGUAGAGGUGAAAUUCGUAGAUAUUCGGAAGAACACCAGUGGCGAAGGCGACUCACUGGCCCGAUACUGACGCUGAGGCGCGAAAGCGUGGGGAGCAAACGGG
rnacentral:rRNA from 1 species